rnacentral:rRNA from 1 species
CCUACGGGGGGCAGCAGUGAGGAAUAUUGGUCAAUGGACGAGAGUCUGAACCAGCCAAGUAGCGUGAAGGAUGACUGCCCUAUGGGUUGUAAACUUCUUUUAUAUGGGAAUAAAAUGUUCCACGUGUGGGAUUUUGUAUGUACCAUAUGAAUAAGGAUCGGCUAACUCCGUGCCAGCAGCCGCGGUAAUACGGAGGAUCCGAGCGUUAUCCGGAGUUAUUGGGUUUAAAGGGAGCGUAGGUGGAUUGUUAAGUCAGUUGUGAAAGUUUGCGGAUCAACCGUAAAAUUGCAGUUGAAACUGGCAGUCUUGAGUACAGUAGAGGUGGGCGGAAUUCGUGGUGUAGCGGUGAAAUGCUUAGAUAUCACGAAGAACUCCGAUUGCGAAGGCAGUUCACUGGACUGCAACUGACACUGAGGCUCGAAAGUGUGGGUAUCAAACAGGAUUAGAUACCCGGGUAGUC